rnacentral:rRNA from 1 species
UCCUGCAGCCACUCAACCUUUGCUGUGAUCUUUUCAGCUCAUAAACUCAGAAAGACUGGAUUGGGUCAGUACUUGGAUGGGAGACUUCCAGGAAAAUCCAAGUGCAGCAGGAA